rnacentral:lncRNA from 1 species
AUUCUUCAUCAAAUAGAAGAGACUAGCUGGAGACUCAUUGGCGAAUGUGUGGAAGUUAUCGUGUUACUUCGCCACUCCCGUUAUUAAAGAAAAGGUCAUUACGAUAAAGUGCAACUCCAUUAAAUGAAGUGAUCAUGAAUAAUUAAUUGUAAACAUUCCUUCCGUUUCAUUCCACUCGAUAUAUAGUGAGCGUUUUAAGUUGACAAUACUGAUACGUAUAGAGGUUAUGUUUAGUUAGCAGCAUCUCAUGGAAGAACACACACCAACUUUCAGCCAGAUCGGUCUAUUUCUUUCUGUUUGCCAUUCGUUUGAAUAGAGGAAGUAGAGUGAUUUUCAAAAAAUGGAAGGAAAAACGCAUCAGGAGACUAAAAUAACCUUGAUAAACAUUAUGGCGACUCUGUACCUUCGAUUAGAACAGUUUAUAAGUGGUUUCAAAAUUUUAGAAGUGCUCAUAUGGGCAAAAUUGACGUUGAGCGUUCUACACACUCUGUUGAGGUUCCUACUCCAUAAAUCAUUGAUAAAAUCCAUUAUAUGGUGAUGGAUGACAAAAGAGUGAAAGUGUGUAAGAUUGCUAGUGCUGUGGGCAUCUCGAGUUGGAAUAAUAUUUCCAUUAAUUUUGUGACCACAACUUCUGAGGUGUGAGCUGGUGCAUUGUCGUGAUGGAAAAUUAAUUUUUGUGGGCCUAUCGUCUGCAUUUUUCUUGCAGCUCGGUUUUCAAACGGUCCAAUAGCGAUGAAUAAUAUGCACUGGCAAUUGUUUGACCCUUUUCUAGUUAGUCGAUGAGGAUUAUUCCUUGCAAAUCCAAAAGACAAUCCCCAUAAUUUUUCCUGCCGAUUUUUCGAUUCAAAUGAAUGAAAAACAGAAAAAAAUAGACCAUUCUACCACAAAGUUGGUGUAUUUCGGACUUUGCACGUACUCUGUACUAAAUAGAUGGAUGUGUGAAAAUUGUAAAAGUCAACAAAACCUCAGAAGCUCACCUUCUUCUAUUAAUAAAAACCAAGGACAAAUGCUUAUUACGCACAAGUCCCUUAAUUGGAUGAGGGCUACAACCCACCACCUGUGGACGCCCCGGACUUAAUACUUGGAGGCUCUUUUCUCAACAUCGAAGCACUAUUCAGGUUGCCAACAACAACAACAACAUAACUCACACGCUAAAAAAUGCUUACAAUUUAAAACCUUAUGCAUACAUUACAUGCUAGGAAACAACUGAAGAUCUUAUAAUGGAAGUGAAAUUAUUUUUGCUAUACACCAAAUUUUUUCCUUUCAAGAUGUUACUAUAAUUUACUCAUAACCCAUAUUCAUAUGUUCACAGAAAAUAAUAGUGUUUUUAAAUGUAUUAAAGAAAUGCAAUCGCCAGAGGAGUAGUCCCAUCACUUAUUCCUGUAGAUAUUAUAUUUUAUUUGACAAUUUUUUUUUUGUAAAAAUUACUCAUGAAUAAAGAAUACAUGUAUAAAACUUA